rnacentral:rRNA from 1 species
AUGGAGGAAACUAGUGCCACCUCGCCCUCGAGAGUGGCAUGCACAACAAAUCUUCAUAGUGUACCAGCCCUCUCAGAAUCACUCCAUGGCCUUGAAUUAAGUGAUGCUAACACUUUUUUAGAGAUUAAUUCUGCUAUGCUUCCUUUUGAUGAAUUCUCUACACCUAACAAGAGACAAUGCUUUUCUCUAGAUGGUUCGGUUUAUAAACGUCUGUGUGAUGAUGCACUCAAACCAACAGUAGGCAUGACAUUUGAUGAUAUUGCUGCCGUGGAGACAUUUUUUAAGAACACUAAUCAGUAUGACUACAUUUUUGCGCCCUUCACGGGUAUCAACCAUCAUAUGCAAAGUGUCUUCUUAGGGGGUGGGUUCUUACUCAAUGAGACAACUGAGGACUACUUAUGGUUGUUUGACAUAUUCCUUAAAUGCAUGGAUGGGGUUGUGCCUAGUGUUAUUAUAACAGAUGAGUGUGGUAGCAUGAGGAACGCUAUCAACGCACUUCUACCCCAUACCACGCAUCGGUUGUGCAUGUGGCACAAUAUGAAGAAGGUUCCUCUGAGGGUCUCUCUCGAAUUGAGAAGUGAUGAAUUAUUCUACAAGAGGUUGGACUCGUGUGUGUGGAAUUCUGAAACACCUACAAAAUUCAAAGAAAGUUGGAAGUCUCUAAUAUCAGAUUUUGGCUUGCAAGAAAAUGAGUGGUUUGCAAAAUGUUACCUGAUUCGUGGGUCAUGGGUGCCAGCAUAUUUCAUGGACAUUGCCCUAGUUGUUAUUCUCAGAACAACCUUAUUUCAAUCACAGGUCUUUGCCUUGUUUCAAUCAGAGGUACUUGCUGCUAGAGAGCAUUGUGAUGUCCAGGAUACUAUGAAUGUGGGGGAGCUGAAGAUUGUUUCCAUUAGUGAUCAAAGUCAUCGUAAAAAUAAGGUAAGAGACGUGCAUUUAGAGACAACAACCAUGAUUGCUAAAUGUUCUUGCAAGCUCUUUGAGUCCAAGGGCAUUGUGUGCCGCCAUGUCAUAUGUGUCGUGAGGGGUGCAAAGAUAAAUGAGCUUCCAACCUUUUAUGUUCUCAAAAUAUGGGAGAAAAUGUGCAAAAGGGAUAUUGUAUUUGACAACGAAGGGAAUGCACUUGAAGAUAAUCUGAUUGACUGCAUUGACAUGGAUACUAGAAGAAAGAUCUCGAUGGCACGGAACACGUUAGAAGAUAUCAUCCGAUGUGCUAAAAAAUCGAGCGUACCACUUGACUCACUCAAUACGGGUAUGUGCAAUCUUGAAUCUGUUGUCUUGCAGUCUGCCUCUGUUGUUCCUCAAACUACACAAGAAGAAUAA